rnacentral:sRNA from 1 species
UGGUGUACAACACGCCGCAUACCUACAAAAAAAAAAGGUGCUUCGGAAAAGCGGCAUCCACAGGCUGUGGUUUAACUUUCUUCCCAGGGAAACUUUGCCCAAGUGUUGUGGUGAAAUGACGUCGAUAAAUCAGAUAAGUGCUGAAUGAAAGCUCCGUGACUUUUGGAGCGUUUGAAAUUGACGGCAGUGUGGACUUCCUCACAGGUGGAUGGCGACAAUGCCAUACCGUCUCUCAUAUGUAUAUGACAGUAUAUCAUGCACUACGCUUUUGUCGCUGAGCCAGGUUGACCUCGUACAAUCAACCAUCCCAAUGUUUCCUUCAAGUGACCAAUUGCUACUGCUACUGUAGAUAACUCCAUCGACAGUGCAACUAGUGAUCAGUGUGGAAUGCAUCGUUCAUUCACUGUGAGAGCUUCUCCUUGAUGCGUCUCGACGAGCAGGCUUCCUACCAUGUCGCCUGCCUUGGUUUACAGAACGGGUAAUUGCUCACUUGGAGGGGAUUUGCACCAGGCUCAAUUGCAAACUCACACACAAUAAUAAUGCCCGUGGACGUUCCAUAAUUUCCUAGAUGGUGCAUUCCUGGCCGCAGCAGAACUUGGUGAAUCCACGGUGGCCCUGAGUUUGGCCGCGAAUCCCGAUAAACUGCUGCGCACACCUGCAACUGCCCACUCCGUCCGCCGGCGCUGUCCCAGUCCGACCUUUUCAUAUCCCUCAGUCCGGGUCACCAGUUUCAAACAGCGUCCUUUUUUCGCUGUGGCCCCAAUGGUUGCAGCUUUACUUGUUUGUCUCCCGAUUGCAAUGGAGGAAGCUGAGAGAAAAUAAAAAAUUCGACUCUCCGGAGAUGGUUUCCGCCAACCCCUAAUUAGGGCGUUUUUCAUUUGUGUAAUGUCUCAACUGCGUUAAACUCCUUGAUUCUCGCGAUAGCACGCCCUAUUCCUGUGAUAUGUUACGAGGUUGAGGUGUUCUCAGGGACAUCAACCCUUCAGGAUGGGCAGCAAGAGGCGAUCUCAGCGUGGGAUUGCUGCGGCUGAUUCUUGUGAUGCGGAGAUGCACUGACUCUCCCGUGCAUGGUCUGAUAAACAGACCCUGUUCUGUAGAACUGCAAGACGAUUACGAGGCUCUCUCAUCGGCUUUACCUAUGGGAGAUGGAUCUUUAUAUUGCUCAUGCCCAUCCCCUUGGUUUUUGAGAUCACCCCGGUUAACAGAAAUAUCUACGA